rnacentral:lncRNA from 1 species
GCCGAGGGCCGUCCCCGUUCCCUCCGGGUCCUCCGCGCACCGCGGCUCCCGGCAGCGCGAGGGCGGCCGGCCAGAGCGGUUUCAAACUUCGAAAACUGCGCUCUGAUCGCGGGAACGUACAGACUCGUGCCGCCUCGAGUCCGAUUCUCGGAGCAGGUGUCAGGCGCCCGGCUACUGCUGUGCUGUGGGCACGGCCCGUGACGGUUCUGACGAGCAGCUGGGUAGGGCUCCGGGGGCUGCAGCCACCGAGCUCAGUAACUUCCUUUAAAAGCAACAUAAACAGCACAAAAUUAGACUGUUUUGUGGAAGCAGAAAUGCUUGGUAGUGGUAGGACUCUGUGCGCUUGCCUAGCAUGCCAUUGCAAGGACAAUCAGCAUGGAAAACCAGGACUUUGAGCUCUGCAUCUCUGCUUGAUCUUGACUUGCUGGUUGAUACCAGGAGCUGCUUCCCAGAUCCUCUUGAUUCGGUUCGAGAAGUUAGAAUUACCUGUAAUCAUUGGUAAACCAAAAGUCCCGAAUGGAGAACAAUGACAGGCGCCUACCGAGAAGGAGAAUCCCGAGGGUCCCGUUUCGGUUACGCAGUGAGAGAGCAGAGGGUGGGAGAGAGCUUGCAAGGUCAUCUCUGUUUGGAAGCAGUUCUCUUGGCCUUUAGCCCUCCCCUCAGCAGCUGACUUCCAAAUGGAAAACAAUGCUCUGUCAUGUCUCCAUGUUAAAAUGACUGGAAAUUGAACGUAGGGGGAUUUAGCAUGUGAUUACUUUUUUUAGAUAGGAUUUUCUUCACAGCUGAAUUAGAUCCCUGUAGAAUUCUGAUUGUGGUAUUGGCUUGUGGCUGUGCUGAACUAAGAAACAGCUGAGCUGAAAUUCCCAGACUAAAAGAUAUGAUGGGUUCUAGUAACCUUGGUACCUGUCUUCUGCUUUUUUUCCAAACUAUCCAAAAUAUCCAGCAAUGUCUAAGUCUUACUGCAUUGUACAUGUUUAGUGUUUUUGAAAAAUAAGCAAUUUCUUGAGUACCUAUUAGAAUUUAUGAAAAUAGUGGGUCCUCUUCCCCUCUAAGUGCAUACAUUUUUCUUCUAUAUGUUUAGUAUUGUAAACUGAUCAUUUCUUUCCAUUGGUAUGGGAAAACUUUUAAAUAAU